AUGUUCUUCGACUAUAAAAUAGCAGAGAUUUAUUUUCUUAUCAAUUCUAAUCCCUUUUUGAUGCAUUGCAGGUUUGCUAUCAAACUCUCAAAAAGAAAAAACAACUUUACUCUGUUUUUUGGAGAACCUUCCUGUAGAGUACAUCGACAGAGACAAAUAUGCGAUCAAGGAUAUAUUCGAUGGAUUUUUACGCAAAAUUUGGAGGAUAUUUUUGCAGAUAGUUUGGUGCUCUCAUGGUUAUUUUGUAGUGAUUUUCCUUAUGUUCAUUACUUGGUAACCAUCUAUGGCAGCUCAGCUAUUGUCCAGCUGCUGACCUUGGUGAGUGAUUGA
rnacentral:rRNA from 1 species